CAGGAUUGGUCAACCAUUUUACACACACACACACACAUGCACUCAUAUUGAUAGUUUUUUUUUUUCUCUUUUGGUCCUUGUUGAAACUUGAGCCUGGAACCUUGUACAUGUUCAUUUGACUGAACCAUGAUAGCAUAUAAAUUGCAUUUGAAUAUCAAUGAUAGAAACAUUUUGGCAUCACUUUUUUGUUAAUGUUACUGUAUACAAUUUAGGAAGUUAUAUAAUUUAGGACUCUAUCAAUAUUAGCUGUACAGAUUGACUUACCAUGUAUAGAUGCUGAAUAUUAGGAAUCAGUUAGACUCCGUGUAUAGCAUAUGCUUCUGUAUAUAGAUGGUGGCAAAGGAUAAUAAACAGGAGGUGAGUUCUCGGUUUCUGUGGGGUUUUCUGAGUGUUUGACAUGGUAUCAGAGCGAGGUUUUGGUGCCUUCUGAGUGGAGUUUGUGCUUCUUGGAGGUUUCAGCACUUCCUGUUGGUGAUUUGUGGUUUUUUUGGUGAUUGCCGUGGGUGUUCUUCUGGGUUUCGAUCCCUUCAAUAGCUGCGUUUGAGGGGUGUAUCUCGAUAGCUGUUGGGUCAUUGAUGAUACGCAUCACGUUGAGGCCGGCAAUAACUCCUGCAUCCUUGGUGGCUUGACGCUGAGAGUCAUUGAAGUAGGCAGGCACUGUAACAACAGUGUUCUUCAAGUUGAACCGAGGUGACUGAGAUCUUGGGUUUGUCACCAGAACCAGGACCAGGAACGACCUUGAAUGACCAAUGCUUGAGAUCACUCUGAACCGAGGCAUCAGAGAAUCUUCUACCAAUCAACGUUUGGCAUCAAAGAUCACUCUAAAGUGGGAUGACUCUUUCCUCUUCAUGUUUCUCCUUCCACUAUUAUUCCUAGUUUUCCUUUACUUUCCUUUGCAUGUAAUGUUGAUGAUUCUGGACAUAAGAUGUGGCAUAGACAUCUUGGCCACCCCAACUCUAAUGUACUUCGUACUUUGUUUAAUUUUGGAUUAUUGAGAUCUUGGGUUUGUCACCAGAACCAGGACCAGGAACGACCUUGAAUGACCAAUGCUUGAGAUCACUCUGAACCGAGGCAUCAGAGAAUCUUCUACCAAUCAACGUUUGGCAUCAAAGAUCACUCUAAAGUGGGAUGACUCUUUCCUCUUCAUGUUUCUCCUUCCACUAUUAUUCCUAGUUUUCCUUUACUUUCCUUUGCAUGUAAUGUUGAUGGUUCUGGACAUAAGAUGUGGCAUAGAAAUCUUGGCCACCCCAACUCUAAUGUACUUCGUACUUUGUUUAUUCUUCAAAGCAAAGGGAUCAUCUCUCAGCAUUCUUGUCCUUCGACACCACAGCAAAACGGUGUUGCUGAGAGGAAAAAUCACCACCUUCUUUAUGUGGUAAGAACUCUUUUACUUGACUCAUCUGUUCCUCCUUGUUUUUGGUGUGAAGCACUUUCUACUGCGGUUCAUUUGAUCAAUCGCUUACCCUCUCCUAUGUUAAAUCAUGUUUCUCCUCUCUCUAAGUUGUUUGGUCAUUCUCCUUUAUAUUCUGAUCUUCGUACAUUUGGUUGCGUUUGUUUUGUGCAUCUCCCUACUCAUGAAAGACAUAAACUUACUGCUCAGUCUAUUAAGUGUGCUUUUCUUGGUUAUGCUAUCCCUCACAAGGGUCAUGUUUGUUAUAUCCCCAUGCUCGUCGUAUACGAGUUUCCCGAAAUGUGAUUUUCUUUGAAAAUCAAUAUUUCUUUCCAUCUCAUGUUGAGCUGCCAUCUACAUCUGUAUCUCUUCUGCCUAGUUUUUCUGAAUCCCCAACAAUUGUGGAAAGGUUCAAACCUGGCUUUGUGUAUGAAAGAUGUAGUCGACAUGAGUCCGGUUCCACUUCCUUUGUGCCCUCUUCCGAUCUUAACCCGACGCCUGAUCUUGCUCCUGCUUCCACCGCUCUUCGUCGGUCUACUCGUCUUUCUCAACCCCCUAAUUGGUAUGGAUUCUUCUCUCCUAUCUCUUUUGUUGCUACUUUAUCCACUAUUUUUAUUCCCUAUUGCUACAAACAGGCCAUGGAACAUGAGUGUUGGCAAAAUGCAAUGCAAGCAGAACUUCAAGCACUUGAGGAGAAUCAUACUUGGGAUAUUGUUCCUUGUCCUCCUACAAUCAAACCUAUUGGGAGUAAAUGAGUUUUCUCUGUAAAACUUCGUUUUGAUGUCUCUUUGGACCGGUACAAAGCUCGUCUCGUAGCUCUGGGUAACAAGCAGGAAUAUGGGGUUGAUUAUGAGGAGACAUUUGCUGCUGUUGCCAAAAUGACCACGGUUCGAACCAUCUUAGCUAUUGCCACUUCACAGUCAUGACAACUGCAUUAGAUGGAUGUGAAGAAUGUUUUUCUUCAUGGUGAUCUCCAAGAAGAGAUUUACAUGAAGCUUCCCACUGGUAUGACUAAUUUUUCUCCUCAUGAUGUCUAUAAGUUCAAACGUUCUUUGUAUGGGCUCAAGCAGGCACCCCAGGCUUGGUUUGAGAAGUUUCACAGUACAAUUCUUUCCUUUAGUUUUACCCAAAGUCAAUAUGAUUCUUCCCUCUUCUUCCACACGUUUGUGUCGGGUAUAGUCCUUCUCUUGGUUUAUGUGGAUAAUAUUAUCAUUACUAGCACUGACUGUGGUUUGAUUACUAAGCUUCAGCGGCUGUUACAUACAACUUUUCAUAUGAAAGAUCUUGGACAGCUCACAUACUUCUUAGGAUUGGAAGUUCAUCAUCGGGCCAGUGGUAUUUUCGUGAACCAACAUAAGUAUAUUCAAGAUCUUAUCACUUUGGUUGGUUUGGAGGACACUUCCUCUGUUGACACUCUUAUGGAGGUAAAUGUCAAAUACAGGAAAGAUGAAGGGGACCUUUUGGAUGAUCCUACUCUCUAUCAGCGCCUGGUUGGGAGUCUUAUCUACUUGACCACUACUCGACUUGAUAUCUCCUAUGUUGUUCAUCAGUUCAGUCAGUUUAUGUCUUCUCCUCGACAUCUCCAUCUUGCUGCAUUUCGACGCAUCAUUCGCUAUCUUCGAGGUUCACCUACUCGUGGGUUGUUCUUUCCUACCGGUUCCUUUCUUCAACUUGUUGCCUAUAGUGAUGCUGAUUGGGCUGGGUGUCUAGAUACACAUCAAUCUACUACGGGUCGGCAUAUGUUUUUAGGUGAUGCCUUAAUUUCUUGGAGAUGUAUGAAAGAAGAUCGUGUUUCUAAAUCCUUUACUGAGGCCAAGUAUCGUGCCAUGUCUACUGUUUGUUCUGAAAUCGUAUGGCUAUGCGGUCUUCUUGAGGAGCUUGGGUUUCCUUAGACUACUUCUACCCCUCUUCAUGUUGAUAGUACUAGUGCUAUUCAGAUUGCCACCAAUCCCGUUUUCCAUGAGCGCACCAAGCACAUUGAGGUUAAUUGCCACUCUAUUCGAGACACCUUGGAAAGUCGGGUGAUAUCUCUUCCUCACAUCUUUUCUGAUCUCCAAGUGGCUGAUGUCUUCACCAAAGCUUUGACUCGACAACGACAUCAAUUUCUUGUUGGCAAAUUGUUGCUGGUUGACUUACCAACAUCAAUUUGAGGGGGGAUGUUAAUGUUACCGUAUACAAUUUAGGAAGUUAUAUAAUUUAGGACUCUAUCAAUAUUAGCUAUAUAGAUUGGCUUACCAUGUAUAAAUGUUGAAUAUUAGGAAUCAGUUAGACUCCGUGUAUAGCAUAUACUUCUGUAUAUAGAUGGAGGCAAAGGAUAAUAAACAGGAGGUGAGUUCUCGGUUUCUGUGGGGUUUUCGGAGUGUUUGACAUUUUUCUCCUUCCUGCAAUGCCUCAACACAACUACAACUAUGAUUUUUUGUGAAUGAACCAAAAUAAAAUAAAAUAAAAUGAAAUAAAUCUGGAAUCAUUCUACACAAACAUCAUUCCUCUUACUGGACAGACCUUACAGAUUCAAAGUUUUAUUUAUUU
rnacentral:lncRNA from 1 species